rnacentral:rRNA from 1 species
UGGGGAAUAUUGCACAAUGGGGGAAACCCUGAUGCAGCGACGCCGCGUGAAGGAAGACGUAUUUCGGUAUGUAAACUUCUAUCAGCAAGGAAGAUGAUGACGGUACUUGACUAAGAAGCCCCGGCUAACUACGUGCCAGCAGCCGCGGUAAUACGUAGGGGGCAAGCGUUAUCCGGAUUUACUGGGUGUAAAGGGAGCGUAGGCGGCCAUGCAAGUCAGAAGUGAAAGCCCGGGGCUCAACCCCGGGACUGCUUUUGAAACUGUAGGGCUAGAUUGCCGGAGAGGUGAGCGGAAUUCCUAGUGUAGCGGUGAAAUGCGUAGAUAUUAGGAGGAACACCAGUGGCGAAGGCGGCUCACUGGACGGUAAAUGACGCUGAGGCUCGAAAGCGUGGGGAGCAAACAGGAUUAGAUACC